UACGAAGGGGGCGAGCGUUGUUCGGAUUUACUGGGCGUAAAGAGUGCGUAGGUGGUGCCCUAAGUCUGUUGUGAAAUCUCCCGGCUUAACUGGGAGGGUGCGGUGGAAACUGGGGUGCUUGAGUGUGGGAGAGGUAAGCGGAAUUCCUGGUGUAGCGGUGAAAUGCGUAGAUAUCAGGAGGAACACCGGUGGUGUAGACGGCUUACUGGACCACGACUGACACUGAGGCACGAAAGCGUGGGUAGCAAACAGG
rnacentral:rRNA from 1 species